rnacentral:lncRNA from 1 species
UGAGUGCACUUUGUUCGCUGGCGUGCACGCUGGUGCUUGGUUGUGAGCUAUGUGUACUAGUGCGCACACUAGUGCCUGGCUGCAAGCUAUGCACGCAUGUCUUGUAUAUUGACAGGCAUGUCAUGUCGCGUGGACAACUCCUGCCUGUCGCGCAGUCACUUCGCCUCGCCUACCAUGAUGACUUGUCCUGUUAGCCAUCGUGUUGUCGGUUGCCCCUCUCUCUGUGCCAUGUGUCCUCACAAAUAGAUGCCACAUGGCGAGCAUCUAAUGCCUC